rnacentral:rRNA from 1 species
GCUUAUGGCCAUACCAGCCUGGGUACGCCCGAUCUCGUCUGAUCUCGGAAGCUAAGCAGGGUCGGGCCUGGUUAGUACUUGGAUGGGAGACCGCCUGGGAAUACCAGGUGCUGUAAGCA